UAAUGCAGUCGAGCGAUGGAUUAAGAGCUUGCUCUUAUGAAGUUAGCGGCGGACGGGUGAGUAACACGUGGGUAACCUGCCCAUAAGACUGGGAUAACUCCGGGAAACCGGGGCUAAUACCGGAUAACAUUUUGAACCGCAUGGUUCGAAAUUGAAAGGCGGCUUCGGCUGUCACUUAUGGAUGGACCCGCGUCGCAUUAGCUAGUUGGUGAGGUAACGGCUCACCAAGGCAACGAUGCGUAGCCGACCUGAGAGGGUGAUCGGCCACACUGGGACUGAGACACGGCCCAGACUCCUACGGGAGGCAGCAGUAGGGAAUCUUCCGCAAUGGACGAAAGUCUGACGGAGCAACGCCGCGUGAGUGAUGAAGGCUUUCGGGUCGUAAAACUCUGUUGUUAGGGAAGAACAAGUGCUAGUUGAAUAAGCUGGCACCUUGACGGUACCUAACCAGAAAGCCACGGCUAACUACGUGCCAGCAGCCGCGGUAAUACGUAGGUGGCAAGCGUUAUCCGGAAUUAUUGGGCGUAAAGCGCGCGCAGGUGGUUUCUUAAGUCUGAUGUGAAAGCCCACGGCUCAACCGUGGAGGGUCAUUGGAAACUGGGAGACUUGAGUGCAGAAGAGGAAAGUGGAAUUCCAUGUGUAGCGGUGAAAUGCGUAGAGAUAUGGA
rnacentral:rRNA from 1 species